UUUUUACACCUGAAAUCAGCUCACUUCUCCUGAAGGUUGAACUGGAGUGUCAGAAACAGAAGAGCCAGGUACGCUCCAGAGUGUUCCAGUACCUCUCAAACUUCCUGCCCUGCACCAGGAAGACGAUCCUUAAACGAGCGAGGAAGCUGGUGAUCGCACACACGCCCAGUGAUCUGACGUCCACUUCACAACCUGAAGGAGACCA